rnacentral:lncRNA from 1 species
ACGUGCCCUCGGCACAAUCUGACGUCAAAACGGCAAUAUGGGUCCACCGUCAACCCCGACGGCCCCCAAUAGUCUGCAACAGUUUGAAAGCUACUGUAAAAAUACACUCGGCAUCCCAGCACGAGCGUAACUGAAAUCUAAACUAUCUGAAGUAUCCACCACGCCGAUACUGCGGAGAUACAAAAUAACAACGGCUCCUAGAGCUAAAUCCGGUAGUUUAAGCAUGUGACAGGUUCAAUCGUAGGUUUUCUCCUAAGUUAUAUCCAAGUCCAACAUGUGCAAGUAGAUUUAGUAACACUAGGCUCCAAUUCAGAUUUUUGUAAAAGAAACACCAAAUCCAUGAAUCGAGCAAAUAGAAUAUGCAAAAAUAACUACAACGACACAUGCCGACUAUCUCUAUAUACUUAGAAGACAAACCGACGAUUAACCCACCUCAAAAGCUACUCCCAAUCCGGCACGACGUCAAGAACGGUGGAAAUGCACCCUCGCCCGGCCUCCCCGUAGUGCUACGACGACGAAGACACGCUCGAAUGGCACCGCGGCGCGAUGCCAACGACACCGGAACUUCACCCGAGCUCCUCCACCACGGACGAUCAAGCACAAGGGGAAGAGAGAGAGAGCGCACUAAUCCUCUCCUCUCUGAUCUCUCUAUCCUAUAUAGGGAGGGAGAAGGGGUGGUAAUACAAACAAGACAAGAGAAUUACCAAAAAGCCCCUUGCCUACCGUGGUGUACCGGUACACGGGCAUUUGUACUGGUACAAAUGGCAACCCGAGAGCAGUCUGCGCGGGGACAUGCGUUGUGUACCGGUACACCUCUGAUGUUGUACCGGAACAGCAAGAUGUACUGGUACGCCUUGAUGGUUGUACCGGUACAGCAAGCAGAAAAUCUGCAUUUUGUAGAUUCCAGCCCUAACUCAUGCCCUCGCGUCUCCACUGAGUCCAUUCGGCGUCCAUUUCGUGCCAACGCGACUCGGACUUGUCCCGACACUCCCCCGAUGUGUCGACAAGCCUCACCUGCUGUACUCCAGGGAUACCACAUCCUUCCCCACUACAAAAAGUUUCGUCAUCGAAACUUAAGCAUACCUCCACGCUGAGCAUCAAACAGGUAAGGGUAGGACUCCCUCAUCACCGUCUCGGGCUCCCAAGUCGCCUCUCGUUCCUCGUAAUUACUCCACUACACCUUCACAGACGGGAUGACCCAAUUGCGCAAUUCUUUCGUCUCCCAAGCAAGAAUUCGCAAUGGUCGCUCCUCGUAUCUCAGAUCCUUGCCAAUCUCUAGUGGAGUGAAGUCAAUCACGUGGGAGGGGUCGAAAACAUAUCUCCUCAAUGCCGAGACGUGGAAUACAUCAUGGAUACCGGCUAGUCCGGGAGGUAGAGCAAUCCUAUAAGCAAUCGGUCCAAUUAGCUCCAAUACCUCAAAAGGGCCAACGAAACGUGGAUUGAGCUUUCCACGCACUCCGAAUCUGCGAAUCCCUCUGGACGGCGAGACUUUGAGAAAAACAUGAUCUCCAACUUGGAACUCCAAGUCUCGUCUCCUGGUAUCGGCGUAGCUCCUCUGGUGGCUCUGGGCUGUCAAAAGGUGUCGUCGAACAACUCUCACCUUUUCCUCAGCCUCUAGCAAGAUCCCAGGCCCUAGCAUCUUUCUUUCACCCACAUCACUCCAAAACAAAGGGGAUCGACAUUUGCCUCCAUACAACGCUUCAAACGAAGCUAUCUGGAUGCUCGUUUGAUAGCUGUUGUUGUACGCAAACUCAGCCAGUCUCAAAUGUCGAUACCACCCUCCUCCAAAGUCCAGGACGCAUGUCCUCAGCAUGCCCUUUAUAGUCUGAAUGGUCCUCUCUAACUGACCAUCUGUCUGUGGGUGAAACGUCGUGCUGAAGUGCAACUGUGUACCCAAGGCUGUCUGUAGACUCCUCCAAAAGUGCGAAACAAACCUCGGGUCCCUAUCUGAUACAAUCGAUCUCGGCACACCAUGCAGCCUGACAAUCUCAUCCAGAUAUAGCUACGCGAGUCUCUCCCUGGACCAGAUGGUCUGCACUGGUAGGAAGUGAGCAGACUUGGUCAGUCUGUCUACUAUCACCCAUAUAGCAUCAAAGCCACCCUGUGCUUUAGGCAAUCCCACGACGAAAUCCAUCGUGAUCUGCUCCUAUUUCCACUUGGACACUGACAGACUCUGAAGCUUGCCAGCAGGUAUCUGAUGCUCGGCCUUUACCUGUUGACAAGUCAGACACUGAGCCACAAAUUUACCACUGUCCCUCUUCAUUCCGUUCCACCAGAAUUGUGCCUUCAAGUCCUUAUACAUCUUGGUUCUGUCAGGGUGAGCCAUAUAAGGAGCACAAUGAGCCUCUCUCAAAAUAUCCGCUCGGAUCUCUAAAUCCAUAGGCACACACAGUCGGUCCUUGUACUGCAUACUCUCGAACUGUCCACUACGAAGCCCUCAGCCUGUCCCCUCUCUAGCUGCUCUUGAAUCCUCAAUAAGUGUGGAUCUCCACUCUGUUUCUCUCGAAUCCUAUCCAACAGAGUGGGCUGCAAGACCAUAGACAUUAGUCUCGCAGUAGACCCAGGGGACACUAUCUCGCGCCUCAACCGCUGCAGCUUCUCGAGUAACGGCCUCUGCUGUAUGAUCAUCAGACUCAAGUUCUGCACUGCCUUUCUGCUCAACACAUCUGCCACCACAUUUGCCUUGCCGGGAUGAUACUGAAUACUAACGUCAUAGUCCUUCAGUAACUCCAACCACUGGCGUUGCCUCAGGUUCAGCUCCCUCUGGGUGAACAGAUGCUUGAGACUUUUAUGAUUGGUGAAAACCUCACAGUGCUCGCCGUACAAGUAAUGCCGCCACAACUUCAAAGCAAAAACUACCGCGGCAAACUCCAAGUUAUGCUUAGGGUAAUUCUUCUCAUAAUCCUUUAACUGCUGUGAAGCAUAAGCAAUUACUCUACCAUACUGCAUCAGCACACAACCCAAACCACUGUGCGAUGCAUCACUAUAAAUCACAAAGCCUUCCCCCAUCAUAGGAAAGGCAAGGAUAGGAGCUGAUGUCAACCUCUGUCUCAACUCAUCAAAGCUCCUCUGACAAUCCUCACUCCAGAUGAAUCGAAAUCCCUUUCUAGUCAAUCGAGUGAGGGGUGUGGAAAGCUUCGCAAAGCCUUCUACAAAUCGACGGUAAUAUCCUGCCAGUCCAAGGACACUCCUCACCUCAGUCACCGUCGUCGGUCUGGGCCAAUCCCGAAUAGCAUCGAUCUUCUUCGGGUCCAUUGCUACUUCCUCAGCAGAAAUCACGUGGCCCAAGAAAGCAACCUUCCGCAACUAAAACUCGUACUUCUUCAACUUGGCAUACAACUUCUUCUCUCGCAGAAGCUGUAGCACAGUCCUCAAGUGCUCUUCAUGCUCAGCAUCACUCCGGGAGUAAAUUAAGAUAUCGUCGAUGAAGACUACUACAAAUCUAUCCAAGAACAGCUUAAACACUCUGUUCAUCAAAUCCAUGAAUGUGGCAGGGGCAUUCGUCAAUCCAAAAGGCAUGACUGUAAACUCAUAAUGCCCGUACCGAGUCCGAAAAGCCGUCUUGGAGACAUCCUCGGCCCUCACCCUCAACUGGUGGUAACCUGACUGGAGGUCAAUCUUCGAGAAGACACAAGAUCCUUAUAGCUGAUCAAACAAAUCAUCAAUGCGCGGCAAAGGAUACUUGUUCAUGAUGGUCACCUUAUUCAGCUCCCGGUAAUCCACACAUGACCUGAGCGAACCAUCCUUCUUCUUUACAAAUAACACCGGCGCUCCCCAAGGCGACACACUGGGUCUCACAUACCCCUUAUCCAUCAGAUCCUGAAGCUGCGCCAUUAACUCUCUCAGCUCCGCCGGUGCCAUCUGAUAAGGUAUCUUUGAGAUUGGUGCAAUUCCAGGAACUACAUCAAUCACGAACUAAAUCUCCCUCUCCGGCGGCAUCGUCGUCAACUCUGGAGGAAAUCCAUCCGGAAACUCGCGGACUACAAGAAUAUCCUCGAGUCCCGGCGCCGCUGUAGGUACCUUAGUAAUUGCUGCUAGAAAAGCGAUGCAUCCUCUACUCAUCAGCUGUCAAACCCUCUCGAAAGAAAUCCAAGUUGCAAAUAACGUGCUCCUGCAGCCCCUAAAAGUGGACUCCUCUUGGCCUGGCUCGCGGAACGUCACCGUCUUCGCUCCACAAUCAAUAGUAGUAUAGUACCGCACCAGCCAGUCCAUACUGAGCACAACGUCAAAGUCCUGCAGCUGCCCUAACACCAACAGGUCUGCGGGAAUGAUCCACGAAUCCAACUGCACCGGACAUGACUAACAACACUCUGCAACUGUAACACGUGGUCGGGGAUCUGCACAUCUCGUGUCUGUGAUAAUGACCCUAACUCUAGACCAUACAACAAUGCAAAUGCUCGGCUAACAAAGAAAUGCGAUGCACCGGUAUCAAAAAGUGUACGAGCUCUAAUGCCAGAAAUCAAAAUGAUACCUGCCACCACUCGGUCAGCUGCUGUAGAGUCCUCCACUUGGGCUGCAUAGACCCUGCCACUCGGAGCUUGUUGUCGCCGCUCACUCUGACGUGGCACAGACGAUCUGUCCUCCUGGCGGAAACUCGGAGCUGCUUCAAAAGACUGCGGGGAUGCUGGCUGUGCAGAUGCUAUGGAUGGUGCUUGUGACGCCCCAACUUCCCAGGGGGUCACCCAUCCUAGGACUACUCCCGUCCUAGCACGCUUAAUUCUCUUAACCUCUUGGGCCUUGCCACCACCCAAAUUGCUUAAGCCGGGUUAAGAGUUUAGCCCUAUUAUAUCUCAUACAUAGGACUAUCUGGGGUCUCACAAUCUCCCCUCCUUUAAGCCCUGACGUCCUCGUCAGGCUCAGACUCACAAGUACCAGGCGAUGUGAGACUCAUCUCGCUAGCCCGUCAUCCAGACCCUGGCUCAGCCAAGACUCAUCUCACACUUCCGGCUGGUAAUUGGCUCUGAUACCAUAUGUGACGCCCCGACUUCCCAGGGGAUCACCCAUCCUAGGACUACUCCCGUCCUAGCAUGCUUAACUCUCUUAACCUCUUGGGUCUAGCCACCACCCAAAAUACUUAAGCUGGGUUAAGAGUUUAGCCCUAUUAUAUCUCAUAUAUAGGACUAUCUGGGGUCUCACAGUGCUGGUGAUGCUGCUCAAGGACAAGCUGAUCUCAUAUGCCCGGGCUGACCGCAACUGUAAUACUUGCCCUCUCUCUGGUCGCACUGCCGGGGCCAGUGGGGUCCCCCACAGAUCACACACUGUGAUGUCCUCUGUGGCUGUCCCUGCUGACGGAAUCCUCGAGAACGCUGAUGCCCCGAAGACCCACGACCCUAAGACCGUGAUUGUGGCGGUCUCGGCGAACGCCUGCUGCUCGACGGUCCUGCGUCAUCUGGAAAGGGGCACUUCCUGUCCUGACUCUGCCCCACUGCCUGAGUCCUCUCCCGAAUGGAUGCAUCACCCCUCUCUACCCAAAGAGCCUGCUCCAUUGACGCAUCCAAGAUCCGCAACCUCUGCGCCUGAACCAAUCGGAAGAUCUUGGGCCUCAAACCCUACUCAAAGAGGUAAACUCUGUGCGCCUCAUCCCUGGCCACAAUCGAAACACAGUUCAGGAGUUGAGUGAACUCCUGAAUAUACUCUCGGACUGUUCGCUCGCCAUGCUGAAUCCUCUUCAGAUCCUCCUUAAGCUUCUAUUUCACGCUGUUGGGAAAAUACAUCCCGAACAGCAUUCCAUAGAACUUGUCCUACUUCAGCUGCAACGUCACUAAUCAAUAAUCUCGCCUCACCCUCCUCCACGAGGCGUGAGCAUCGCCUGCUAAGCAGUGUACUCCCAUAGGCACCUGCUCCCUCUCAGGAAUGAACAGAUCCUCAAAAAACUUCUCCAUCGCGCUGACCCAAACCUCAACCACCCAAGUCUCCGUGCAACUGCCAUCAAAGGUCGGUGGGUCAAAACGACGGAAACGGGCAAGUCUCUCAGCUAUCCGCUCCUGCUCAGCCUCAGUCAGUUGUGGGGCCUCACCAAAAGCGGCAACUGGCGCUGGGGGAACUGUCGCUGGUAGGGGCACGACUGCGGCUGGUGCUGCCACUUGAGUAAUAGGGGGUGGAGCUGAUGACUCUAGUGCUCUCGGUGUUGAACUCGGGGGCGGAGCUAACCUCUCACACAUCCUCUCCAACAACUCCCCCUGCCGCUUCGUCACCUCUGUCAAGGCGGCCAGCUGCGCUUUCAAAUCAGGGGAUGCACUUGUCUCCGGUCAGACACUCCGCUCCACAACAGGGGGUGCACUCGCCCCUGGUCGGGUACUCCGUUCCGUCUGCUCGGGCAUAUCAGAAGGUCCCGCAUGAUCCUGCGUCAAUUGGGCAAAUUGAAAAACGGUGCAAAGGUUGGGAACCAAUGGUGUAAUUAACCCAUUAAAUUUAUAAAUUCAAUUUUUUUAAAAAAAUUUAAGAUUUAAUUUUUAAAUUUAAAAUUUGAUUUUGGAUUCAAAUUUAAAUUGGAAUUCAAAUUCCGAUUUUGAAUUUAACUUUAAAUCCAAAUUCACAUUUCGAAUUCUAAAUUCUAAUUUAAUUUCAAACUUCGAUUUGAAAUUUCAAAUUCAAAAUGUGAAUUUGAAUUCGAAGUUUAAAUUCAAAUUUAGAAUUGAAAUCAAAUCUUAAAUUCAAAUUUAAAUUUUGAAUUCAAAUUUAGAAUUUAAAAUCAAAAUUUUGAAUAUGAUUUUAAAAUUAAAUUUGGUUUUAAAUUUAAAUUCAGAUUUUAAAUUUAAAUUUUGGUUUCUAAACUUUCAUUUUAAAUGUAAAUUGAAAUAUCAAAAUCAAAAUCAAAAUUUUAAAUUUGAAUUCAAAAUUUAGAUUCAAUUAAAAAUUUAAAUUUAAAAUUUGAAUUUCAAUUCAAAAUUUUAAUUCAGUUUUAAAUUCAAAUUCAAAAUUCUAAUUUCUGGUUAAUAAAAUUUUAAUUUUAAUAUUAUUUUUGAAUUUAAAAUUAAAAUUUUGAAUUUUUAUUUUUAGGGACUAAAGUGAAAAACGUGCAAAGUUUAGGGACCUAAAUUAACAUGCAAAAGAAUGCCAAUAGGCGCUGAUGUGGCGAUUCCAUUAAUUUUAAUAGUUAUUUUAACGGUUGGGACGUAAUUAUAAUAGAAUAAAGAGAUUAGGAACUCAAUUGAAAAAAAAAAAAGGUUGGGCAUCCAAGUGAAAAUUGGUGCAAAGGUUUGGGACUACUGGUGUAAUUAACCAAAAAAAAAAAGAAAUAAUAGGAAUGUCUCUGUCGUGAUCGUAUCUCUAUACAAACUCAUAUGGUGGCAAAAUUCAUUGUGCGUCAGCUGGAAUUGGAUAUCAGGUAAAUAGAGUCGUACGACCCAAUCGCAUAGGCCGGCUCAUAGGUCCUACCAAGCCUGCACUGUCACAAGCCCAAUAUGAUAGAUCUGUAUAGGUAUGUAAAAUAAGAAGAAAAUUAAAUACAUACAAAAAUUCAGGAUCAAAAUAAAAUAACUCACAGAGUGCCAUAGAGAAGAAAUUCUUGAUCAAUCUACGGAAGCAAGAAGUUCAGCUAUAAUUUGGAAGUCAUGAACCAAACUUGGAUAAUUUGGUUUCUCCUCCUAUCUCAGGUACUCUCCCGUAUGGUGUGGAACCGAUAGUAUUUCUUUACCAGAAUGCGUAUGAGAAGGUGGCAAGACCAAUACCCCUUUAUAUUGAGUCUAAAUCAACUUUCCAUCAAAGUCUGAUUAGGAUUCUAUUUAAUUUAAAUAGAUGGAAUAGGAAUAAAAUAUACCAUACCAAAUAGUUCUAUAUCUAUUAUGAUUGACCUUUAUCUAUAAUAAAUCCAGAUUUGAAUAUGAUUAUGUCACGCCCCGGAUUACACGUUCCUCAGGCACGCCGACAAAUUCGCCAUACACAAAGAAAUUUUUCCUGUAUACGAAGCGUAGCUGUACCUGUAACACAUACAAUACUACAACCAGUAGUAUAGAGCUACUCGAAUAAAACUGGUAAAAACAUGAACAAGUUCCAUAUACAUACAUACAUCCAAAUAUACAAAAAGCUCGCCCAGCGAGAUAUAACAAGUAUGUAUAAGAAACUCAAAAACUAGCACUACCUGCAGCUGGUAACCUCUCGAACAGCAGCAACUGGGAAGGGCUCUAACUGGCAACGCCUUUGCCACGAUCAGUCUCCGAGGAAGCAGCAGCCGGAACAGCAGGCUCUGCAAAAAUAGGGUAACAACUGGGCGUGAAAACUACUGUAAAAAUAAGUAGUCCUCAAUGGGUACCGCCCUCAACAUCGUCGGUCCACCCACCAAGUCUACAGAAGGAAGCAAAGAUAGUAGGAAAAGCUGAAAAAAAUCUACAGCUAAAUGUCGCUACACUAUCCUGCUCUACACUAACCAACUGUAAUAAAAGUCAGUCCUGACCCAAUCUCACUAGUAACUAUAGGCAUACUCGUCCCUGGGACUGUGAACACACCCGUCCCACCCGGUUGCGACUAUAUAGAUACCUCCACACUAAGCGGUCCGUGGAGAGCAAGUCCAACCUGCACAAUCGACACCAAUGCGAAAGCAGAACGCCCGUCUCCGAAGUGGCAAUCGUGGGAACUACCCAACCGAGUAUGCAGCGUAUCUCUGUCGAGCUCAAUCAGGCUCACAAAUCAAAGUCAAGUAAAUCAGGUCCAACUGGUCUAACAACUAACAAGUCACGUGCCCUCAGCACAAUCUGACGCCAAAACGGCAAUAUGGGUCCACCGUCAACCCCGACGGCCCCCAAUAGUCCGGAACAGUCUGAAAGCUACUGUAAAAAUACACUCGGCAUCCCAGCACGAGCAUAACUGAAAUCUAAAAUACCUGAAAUAUCCACCACGCCGAUACUGCGGCAAUAUAAAAUAACAACGGCUCCUAGAGCUAAAUCCGAUAGUUUAAGCAUAUGCCAGGUUCAAAUCACAGGUUUUCUCCUAAGUCAUAUCC